rnacentral:rRNA from 1 species
CAGCAGUCGCCGCGGUAAUACGUAGGUGGCAAGCGUUGUCCGGAAUUAUCGGGCGUAAAGGGCUCACAGGCGGUUUCUUAAGUCUGAUGUGAGAGCCCCCGGCUCAACCGGGGAGGGUCAUUGGAAACUGGGAAACUUGAGUGCAGAAGAGGAGAGUGGAAUUCCACGUGUAGCGGUGAAAUGCGUAGAGAUGUGGAGGAACACCAGUGGCGAAGGCGACUCUCUGGUCUGUAACUGACGCUGAGGAGCGAAAGCGUGGGGAGCGAACAGGAUUAGAUACCCCAGUAGUCCCUGUCUCUUAUAC